UUUUUUGAGAGACUCCAUCUGUAGUUGGAGAGAGAUGGACUGGCAAAACUCCGCUAGCCCUUGGCCGCCUCCAAUUUCCCUUUCCCUCUCUCCAAUCUCCACCGCCGCCGCCGCCGCCUCCUCUCGGUUUCUCAUGCUGCCGCUCCGACGAAGAGCGCGCCGCUGGUGCUUAGAUUCUGGGGACAUCUCAUGGUCUUCGUUGACGGAAGGAGGGGAAGAGCAGCCGCGCCAGGCGGCAUGCCUCGCCGUGCCGCGUGGCAGCCGCUGCCCCAUGCUUUGCCGGUGCCGUCUCAUCGUCUUCAUAGACAUGCGCAUCUCUGUCAGGACCGCGCGUCCAUGCCUCCCAUCUACCGGGCUGGAGUGGCCGCCUCCUGGUUGAGGCAUCGAACGUCCUCGGCUGCUGCCGCUGCUGCUGGCCGGGUCCCUCCUCUCGCUCCUGCCGAGGCUGAGGUGAGCACCAUGAAGACGAUGUCAGUGGAUGAUAUAGAGAGCUCCUCGAACAAGUAGCAGUUCUGGAGGAACUUGAAGAUGUCAUGUUUCAGUUUUGAUGUGAAUCGCUACAACAACAAUUAGAGGAGACCGUGCAUUGCAGGUUCAGAACCAAUUUAUAUGGAUGAUUGACAUAUGGAUCUUAGCGAGAUUCAAGGGAACGCGUGAUAUGACUGUGCCUUGUAUAAGCAAAGCUGAGCUGUUGAGACUAUUCUAUCCUGAAGUAUUGGUUUAUUACCGAGGAAGCCUUAAACAGAGAAGCUGAAUGCAGUUUUUGUAUCUUUCGUCAAAGUCCUGAACGGUCCAAUGAAAAUCUUGGUAUGCACAGCUUCAGAGCUUCAUCACAUUAUAGUAGGGGAAAAUGGUCUCCUCAAUUGUAUUCUGGUCCAUGAGGUCAUGGGUUCAAGUCCUGGAAACAGCCUCUUACAGAAAUGUAGGGAAAGGCUGCGUACUAUAGACCCAAAGUGGUCGGACCCUUCCCUGGACCCUGCGCAAGCGGGAGCUACAUGCACCAGGUAGGUCUCCUCAAUUGUAUUCUGGUUUAGAACAACAAAACUAUUUUUGCCUCAGCUACUUUGUCGGUGUCGUGUACAUUGUCAUGGAUUUGAUGUCAUGUAGUUCCAGGUGUUUUAUUAUACUUCCAGUCUCAGUAUAUGACGGCAUGAUAUGAUGAUAUUACCCUAAACCUGCUCUCCCGCUCAUUCAAAUCAGGAUGUCGGCGGACGCGUCUGCUGCGUGUCCCCAUCCGUCCGCAACGUCUGCAACUGUAAUCACAGAAUUAGCAGCAUCCUGCGUACGCGACUUCUGACUGCUCGCUAUGCCCGGCGGGCACAUGCGGACGUCCGCAUCUGCCUUGCAAACUCUGUAUACAUCAAGCAUAAUGCAAUCCAUGCUAGAAAAUUACCAAAGAAACAUCUUUAGUUGCAAAUGAGGCCCAACAUCAUGUAGACAUAAGUUGAAUCUCAUGUAAAAGCGUACACACGCUCAACCUCAUGUACAGCAGUAAUUUAAGAGUUAGCUCCACCUGUUAUAAUAGUUUUUUGACCAAUCUGACUUUGGAAUAUCAAGACGAAUUGCUCCCAACAAAUUUGUGUUAUGCUGACUUCUGUAAAAAAAAGUCUAUGCUCAGUUGCAUGAGUUAAUCCAGUUUUAGGACUGAACAAUAGAUUAAUACACACAUAUUUCACUGUGGUUUGUGGCAAUUUUGCGGCAGGUACAAUGCUAAAAAAAAUCAAUUUUUGUUCAAUUUUAUGGUCAAGAUCUUAGGUUGAUGAUAACUUGAUAUGUGGUUCUCCUGUAGCAUUAGUUAUAUUUUGGAUUAUCUUACCCAAAACUAACUACAUGAAAAAUGACUACUUUAUUUUAUACCAUGUUAACUUAGGCCUGAAAUAUGGAAGUUACUUAUCAUACAAGAAGAGGCAAAAUAACAUUUGUACCAUAUUUGGUUCAAGUCUACCAGGUAAAUAAUUUCAAAUGAUCAGAUUGAGUUGUUUUAGAAAUGAAAAACGGAACUUGUCCUUGUUUAUCUUCCCUUUUUGUGUUAAAAUAAGAAGAAUGAUACACCACACACUGCCCUUUGGUUAUUUUUGCCCUUGUAUAUUGCAUGCUUCUUCGCCUAUGACCGGCAGAACACAAUGUAUAGGAUGUUUGUACAAAGAGCUACAAGGAGAGCACUCUUCAACGAUGGCAAUAUCCAAUGAAGCUGCAAAUUGUUGGGUGUAUGUAUAUGUGUACCGAAGUUGAGUUGAAUCCCUAAGGAAGAACCAAACAUUUAUUUCUAUCUUAUUAUAUGCUAUCUUAAAUGCAAAAGUGUGAGCUAUGUUAACAACUGUUUCAGUAUGAUGUUUGGAAAUGUUAAUGAUUGCA